rnacentral:rRNA from 1 species
AUUGAACGCUGGCGGCAGGCUUAACACAUGCAAGUCGAGCGGGGUGAUGGUGCUUGCACUAUCACUUAGCGGCGGACGGGUGAGUAAUGCUUAGGAAUCUGCCUAUUAGUGGGGGACAACAUCUCGAAAGGGAUGCUAAUACCGCAUACGGCCUACGGGAGAAAGCAGGGGACCACUUGUGACCUUGCGCUAAGAGAUGAGCCUAAGUCGGAUUAGCUAGUUGGUGGGGUAAAGGCCUACCAAGGCGACGAUCUGUAGCAGGUCUGAGAGGAUGAUCCGCCACACUGGGACUGAGACACGGCCCAGACUCCUACGGGAGGCAGCAGUGGGGAAUAUUGGACAAUGGGGGGAACCCUGAUCCAGCCAUGCCGCGUGUGUGAAGAAGGCCUUAUGGUUGUAAAGCACUUUAAGCGAGGAGGAGGUUCUUUUGGUUAAUACCCAAGAUGAGUGGACGUUACUCGCAGAAUAAGCACCGGCUAACUCUGUGCCAGCCGCCGCCGUAA